rnacentral:rRNA from 1 species
CAAUAGCGUAUAUUUAAGUUGUUGCAGUUAAAAAGCUCGUAGUUGGAUUUCGGUUAAGAGCGACCGGUCCGCCGUUUGGCGUGCACUGGUUGGUUUUAACUUCCUGUAGAGGACGUGCUCUGGGUUUAACGACCUGGACUCGGAGUCUACGUGGUUACUUUGAAAAAAUUAGAGUGUUCAAAGCGGGCUUACGCUUGAAUAUUUCAGCAUGGAAUAACACUAUAGGACUCCUGUCCUAUUUCGUUGGUCUCGGGACGGGAGUAAUGAUUAAGAGGAACAGUUGGGGGCAUUCGUAUUUCAUUGUCAGAGGUGAAAUUCUUGGAUUUAUGAAAGACGAACUUCUGCGAAAGCAUUUGCCAAGGAUGUUUUCAUUAA